ACAUCUCUUCUCUCCCACUUCACACCUCGGAACGCACUGUUCUUAUAGAGAGAAAAGCGCUUUCACAUCUUCUU
rnacentral:tRNA from 1 species